UCUCUCUCUCUCUCUCUCAAACCCAGGCCCAAAACACAGCGAACAGCCAAAUCGGAAACCCACAUCGCCCUUCUUACUUCUCCUGUCUCCCAGCUUCAAUUUCUCUCCGACUCAUCCUCAACAUAUGCCUAGUAACCCUAAUCCCAAAACUCGCCGUAUUCACUCUAGAAAAUUGAGAAUUCAUUUCAAUGCAGAAGGAGAUAAAUGGGUAAGUUGCUCUCCCAAAAUGGAUUGGGAAGUGAAAAGUGAAAUCAGAAAGAAUGAGAGUAAGAACAUAGGGAAGCUUGUGACCAUGUAGAUUUAUGGUGGCCCACUUUCAUCCGCUUCCAGCUAUGGUCUCCAUGGAACUGGUGGAAGAGGUUUGAAGGUGCUUUAAAGGUUAAGAUAGAGUUUGACGACCUGAAGAAUAAGGCACUUCAUACCUGCAGUUGCUUCAAUUCCCUUGUUAGUCAAAUUGAGUGGUCUUGUCACUGACAGCUUGUUCUUCAGUAAGCUAAGCGCUAAACUUAAUGACUGACAAUGCAUGUUUUCUUUUUCAUUUUUUUUCUCCAAGUAAUAAACUACAAAAUUUUAGGAG